rnacentral:lncRNA from 1 species
CUGAGAAUUCCAUUAAGCACCUCAUUCAGGAAGACUACAAGAUUACAAUAGACACAGGAAUCCCAGUGUAUCAUUUAGCUAUUCAUGUGUAACAAAUGAUCCUAAAUUCCAUGGAUUGAAACAAUAAUGACUUCUUAUUUCUUCCCCUUUGCAGGUUAGGAAUUGCACAGCAAGAUGGCUUUCCCAACUCCACCAUGGCUAGAGCCUCCUCUGCAGGGGCUGAAGCCCAUUGACCUUGGCUUCAUUUGGAUACAUUUCAAGGGUGAACCACACAUUCCUUGGAAACUGAUAAAUGUCUACAACAGCUUCUGGUACCCAGUGUCUCAGUCACUUUACAAAGAUCAUGGAUGUACCUUCCAGUUUGCUUCGGGUUUGCAGCCACCACUCAGGAGACCCUGCAUUCCCUACUUGUCCCCCUUGCCAGCAAACAUCAGAGAGGAGCAGGCUGGAGCCAGAAGUAGCAGGCACUGGGCCUCAGCAGCUGACUGGCCAGCUUCCUGCCUCUGUCACUGGGAUAACCUCCUGAAAAACACAGAUUUUGGAACUUGAAAGUGAAGAGUGAUGAGUCCAUGCCUUUUGAUCUGCAUUGAAGUUUAUCCUGAGGAUCCUAAAUGGUGGAAGAAUACCUCUCAAGAGAUGGAAAGAUUCUAAGAGCCAGAGGGAAUGGAUGACUCCAAGGAACAGGACUGAUGAUCACAUGAACUCUCAGAGGCUAUAACAGCUUCUACCAGGCCUGUAUAGGUUCAAGCCGGAUGGGUUUCCAGCACUGAGAGGAGAAUUGGACAUGGGCUUCUACUCCAUACUAAGAAGCUCUCUGCAACUGAUGUUGACUUGCAAAGGAAAAUAGUUUUCUCCAAUGAAGUAUCACUGGGUAUAUUAGCCAUAUUUCAAGGUAGGCCACCUUCCAGUAGUAAUUGGCCAACAAGUUUAAUAGUAUUUAUUUAUAUAUUGUAUUUUUUGUAGAG